GACGCUAAUACCGCAUACGUCCUACGGGAGAAAGCAGGGGACCUUCGGGCCUUGCGCUAUCAGAUGAGCCUAGGUCGGAUUAGCUAGUUGGUGAGGUAAAGGCUCACCAAGGCGACGAUCCGUAACUGGUCUGAGAGGAUGAUCAGUCACACUGGAACUGAGACACGGUCCAGACUCCUACGGGAGGCAGCAGUGGGGAAUAUUGGACAAUGGGCGAAAGCCUGAUCCAGCCAUGCCGCGUGUGUGAAGAAGGUCUUCGGAUUGUAAAGCACUUUAAGUUGGGAGGAAGGGUACUUACCUAAUACGUGAGUAUUUUGACGUUACCGACAGAAUAAGCACCGGCUAACUCUGUGCCAGCAGCCGCGGUAAUACAGAGGGUGCAAGCGUUAAUCGGAAUUACUGGGCGUAAAGCGCGCGUAGGUGGUUCGUUAAGUUGGAUGUGAAAUCCCCGGGCUCAACCUGGGAACUGCAUCCAAAACUGGCGAGCUAGAGUAUGGUAGAGGGUGGUGGAAUUUCCUGUGUAGCGGUGA
rnacentral:rRNA from 1 species